GGGUGGUAAUGCCGGAUGCUCCAGUUGGAUGCAUGUCCUUCUGGGAAAGAUUCAUCGGUAUGGGAUGGGGUCGCGUCCUAUCAGCUUGAUGGCGGGGUAACAGCCCACCAUGGCUUCGACGGGUAGCCGGCCUGAGAGGGCGACCGGCCACACUGGGACUGAGAUACGGCCCAGACUCCUACGGGAGGCAGCAGUGGGGAAUAUUGCACAAUGGGCGCAAGCCUGAUGCAGCGACGCCGCGUGCGGGAUGACGGCCUUCGGGUUGUAAACCGCUUUUGACUGGGAGCAAGCCUUCGGGGUGAGUGUACCUUUCGAAUAAGCACCGGCUAACUACGUGCCAGCAGCCGCGGUAAU
rnacentral:rRNA from 1 species